rnacentral:rRNA from 1 species
GAUGAACGCUAGCGGGAGGCUUAAUACAUGCAAGUCGAGCGGUAAUUUAGGAAUAGCAAUAUUUCUGAGCUAGAGCGGCGCACGGGUGAGUAACGCGUACACGACCUGCCCUUUACUGGGGGAUAGCCUUGGGAAACUGAGAUUAAUACCCCAUGGUAUUAUUAUGCUGCAUGGUAUAAUAAUUAAAGCUGAGGCGGUAAAGGAUGGGUGUGCGUCUGAUUAGCUAGUUGGUAGGGUAACGGCCUACCAAGGCGAUGAUCAGGUAGGGGGCGUGAGAGCGUCGACCCCCCACGACGGGUACUGAGACACGGACCCGACUCCGUACGGGAGGCAGCAGUAAGGAAUAUUGGUCAAUGGGAGGGAACUCUGAACCAGCCA